rnacentral:tRNA from 1 species
CAAAGCGUAGCUUAAUUUUAAAGCAUCUUGCUUACACCAAGAAGAUAUCCGUUAAACUCAGGUCGCUCUGA